UGGGGAAUAUUGCACAAUGGGCGCAAGCCUGAUGCAGCCAUGCCGCGUGUGUGAAGAAGGCCUUCGGGUUGUAAAGCACUUUCAGCGAGGAGGAAGGUGGUGAGCUUAAUACGCUCAUCAAUUGACGUUACUCGCAGAAGAAGCACCGGCUAACUCCGUGCCAGCAGCCGCGGUAAUACGGAGGGUGCAAGCGUUAAUCGGAAUUACUGGGCGUAAAGCGCACGCAGGCGGUUUGUUAAGUCAGAUGUGAAAUCCCCGGGCUCAACCUGGGAACUGCAUUUGAAACUGGCAAGCUAGAGUCUCGUAGAGGGGGGUAGAAUUCCAGGUGUAGCGGUGAAAUGCGUAGAGAUCUGGAGGAAUACCGGUGGCGAAGGCGGCCCCCUGGACGAAGACUGACGCUCAGGUGCGAAAGCGUGGGGAGCAAAACAGGAUUAGAUACCCUGGUAGUCCACGCUGUAAACGAUGUCGAUUUUGGAGGUUGUGCCCUUGAGGCGUGGCUUCCGGAGCUAACGCGUUAAAUCGACCGCCUGGGGAGUACGGCCGCAAGGUUAAAACUUAAAUGAAUUGAC
rnacentral:rRNA from 1 species